GAUUUUGUAUUAACAUCUCUAUACAUCCCUCUCUCCAUCCAUUACCUCUUUUCUCUUUUUCCAUAUCUAAAUUCUGCCCCUCUUUGGCAAAGUGACUCCUCCUUGCUCUGUCUGUGGACUUCAGAGAAGCACGCAGCAGGAUAAUUAACUGCAGAUAAUAACUGUGAUUUCAUUCCAAAGCAGUGGCCUCACUGGCAGGCGCAUUGCAAUAGCCAUGGGAUCAGCUAUUCAGCUGUAGCAAGAGCCAGGAAUUACCCCAGUGCGAGCAAGGCCAGCAAAGCAUUAUUUAAAUUAUGCAGUGAUACAGUGUCAAAGAAAGGAGCAGGGAGAAGUUCGGCAUGUUCUUGAUGAUGUGACCACUAGCAUGGAUUCGUGCUGGCUUGUAUAAACUCCCCUAGCACAUCACAGAAUUUAUUUGAAACAGCACAAUCCAGUUCCUGCUCUGUCCGUCCCCCACUGCCAGCUGAGGGAAGAGCCCUGAGCAGCUCCCUGCAGUUAAUCCCUGGACAACUCCUUGGAACAAGCCAGUGAAUAUUGUGAAAUGCUGCUUGGAAUUGCUCAUGGGUUGUGGAUGUUUGAGCCAGGCCUGCCCAGAGCUGAGCUGACUCACGUAAGGAUUCUCUGGAGGGUCUGAGCUUUGCUCAGAGCCAGCACACCCUGCUGACCCUGGGGGUCUGACAGCCAGCAAACUGCAGCUUUGGCUCACUCAUCUUCACAGGGGUGUUACCACACUGCUGCCUUUCUCACUUCUUGUUCUCCAGUCCACAUUUUGUGUGUUAUGGACACAAAAACAGAGAUAUGUAAAACCCCAGGGGUUUGCAAGCUUGUGAGAAAUUGUUUGGUGUCACAAGCUGUCCUGGGGACAUUGGUAGCACCUUCUCUGUUCGGGCUGGAAGGGCUUGUCCUUGUGUCUGAAGCCAGAGAGGGAGGGGUGAAAAGCUGUGUUCUGUCUGCAAGCUGCCAGCUCAUCCCCUCUGCUCAGUAAAAUGCAUCUGUCCGAAAUUCAGUCUAAACUUGAGAUAAAGAAGCCACACUUUCCUUCCUGGGGACUCUUGCUGUGUUUAUUUUCCUGGCAAGUGGCGUAUGCAGGGUGAUUUUUCAGAUGAUUUUCAGUUCUUCCUGGGUGAGGUGUGGGAUCCAGGGUGUCACAGCCCAGGCUGUCACAGCCCAGGCUGUCACAUACUGCAGCGGGUGGCUCAGGCUGAUUUAUGGGUAUUCCAUUAUCUCCCUUUAGGGAUGCAGCUGCCAAGCCUGCACAGGGCUGCUCAGCUGGGAAGCUCACAAACUUGGUGCCAUCUUUCUCCAUCCAGUCUUUACUCACUGAAAUAAGCUUUCAUAAGAGAAAGGGCUUUUGUCCUUUUUGCCUGUCCUGGAAACACCUUCAGGGUUCCAGGCUAUGGAGCUUUUCCCAGGCUGCUGGAGCAUCAGGACCUGGUGAUUUCACAUUCCUGUAUUCUGACACGGUGAAUUCAGUUCUACCUAUUUCCUUUGCUUUGUCUUUUCUUUUUCAGGCCCAAAAGUGGUGUUCCUCAUCCUCAGUUUGUUAUUCUGUGAAGCACUCCUGGCAAAUUAGUAACAGUUAGGGCCAGUCACACUUAAAUCCGAGGUAGCUCAUCUGUGCAAUAGUGCUUGCCAUUAAAAAUUAUGCUAUUUUUAGUCUACACUGUUAAUUAUUCACAAGCUCCCGUUUGAGAACCUCUUGGGGAUGGAGAAAGUUCAGCCUCAGGCCGUGGAGGCAGAAGAGAAGGUGAAAGGAAAACACAGAAUGGAAGAAAGGAGAUGGCAAAGAAGGUUGAGGAGGAAAAGUGCUCGCAAUGAAGUGAAAGAUCCUGUCGCGGUCAGGGAGGAACUGAGAAGCAGAGAACACAAAGGAAAACCCGUGGUUUGCUCUUAAGAAAAGCUUUCUCCACGUUUUGCAAUGCACCCACGCGUGCGGGAAUAUUUUUGACCCUGAUGGCAGAUCUGGCACAGUUCCACCCCAGUGACCAUCAGGAGUGGGAUCAAACCUGUGCCUUACAGAGGAACACUCCCAGAAGGGAUGGGAGCUUUCUGGACCAAAGCACAUAAAUAGAAAUUGAAAAGUGUCACUCGGCAUGUUUGAGCCACUGCUUCUCUCCAGAACAGGAGUGAAAUAUUUUUGACCCUGAUGGCAGAUUGGGCACAGUUUCCCCCCAGUGACACCCUGUCCAUCAGGAGUGGGAUCAAACCUGUGCCUUACAGAGGAACACUUCCAGAAGGGAUGGGAGCUUUCUGGACCAAAGCACAUAAAUAGAAAUUGAAAAGUGUCACUCGGCAUGUUUGAGCCACUGCUGGAGUGUUUGACAAAUGCUGGUGAAAAUGAGAAACUGGGAUGGGAGGAAUGGAGAGAAAACAACCAAAGGAUGAAACACAGCCUUCAGGAAGUCAGAAGGAAAAAAGGUUAAUAGAUAAAUAAUUUGAGUAGAAAACACAAAAUAGAGGAAAGCAGAAGAUGUGAGAAGGGAAAAAAAAAAUCCAUAUUCUCUGGCAAGAAGCUAAGUGUCACCUCCAAGAGGCAGGUCAGGUGUAAUACCAGAGAGGCCCAGAUCUCCUGGGUACAGUGUAGGUGAUGUUCAAGAAAUUCACUGAAUCUGAAAGGGAAUGCACCAGAAAGGAAGGAAAUGCUGCAGCGCUUCUGCCUUUGAAGGGGACUUUCUUGGAGGUGGGGGUGUUAACUGAUGGUAUCUGUGACACAGGAUCAGCACCUUCCCUCCCAGCAAGGACAAAGUGAGAGCUGAGAGCUCCCUGAGGUUUUCCUGCAGGCCUGGCCAGGUCAUUUCCUACGUAUGCCUCGACCUUCUCAUCUGCCUCCUCAUCCUCUAGCUCAGGCAAAAAGCAGAAGUGCCAGAAUGCCUCCAAGGAAGUGAUUCAAGGGGCGUUUUUGGCUGGAUUGAAAACAUCCGUGGCUGGAAAUUUCACAAGGGGGACUCUUCCCACAUAGAUAAAUUUCCCACUCACACUUUAUGGCUUGGCUGUUCAGGCUCUAAACCUCUGCUGGGAGGGAAUAGAGACAUGGCAGGGACUUCCCUGUGCCAAGUGACUCCUACCACUAGUGCACUUUGACAGCCACAAUGGGAAAGUUUUAGUGAGGAAAAGCCUUUGGCAUUCACAGCAAAACCUGACAACACUCUGUGCAUGCCUUAGGCUGCAGUUCCUUAUUUUAGUUCACAUGGAACUUAAGGAAGUGCAUAAAAAACCCUUGCUAAAGUGUCCUUAAAAACCCGCCAGCAGCAGGUUGUCAAGAGCUGCUGGAGAAAUGGUGCCACCACUGGGAGCUGCCAGGAGCUGGGAAAGGUUUGUUCAGCAGUACCCAGCUGGCUGUCACAGGCUGUCCUGUCUGCCUGGGGGGGCAGAACCUGCUGGGGUCUGGCACAAAAAUUAACAGUACAGCUGGGGGGCUUUGGGACAGCACUGGGAGGACGGGGCUCCAGCCUGGGUACUGGAGUUUGGGGGAACACUGUGGGAAAUUCCAACGCUGCCAUUCAACCCCUGUGUCUGAAAUCUGGAAUACUGCAGAAAUCUUGAUUGCUUUUACAUUUGCUUUGGGAAAAACACUGCCAGAAGCAGGAAGAAGCACUGUUUGUUUGUUUAGUACAUUCUGAAGGGAAGAAAUAGCCUGUCCUUUCCUACCUCAGCCAGGAGUUCCCAGGAUGCUUCUCUCAGAUCUAAUCAUACACCCUGAUUUCUUUGUGGCAUUUUGGGACAUGUUUUUCAUAACCAUAUCAGUCAGCUGGAGCAUUCCUGCCCCUACAUGAGUGAUUAUUGUUUGGAUUUUGGCAGAACAUGGAGAUCCCUGUGAAGACUGAGGCUGGAUUGCCUUCAGUGGAGUUGAUUACACUGAGGGGUCAAAGCCAGACCCCUGGAAAAGGGGGACAUGAUCACAAGGGCCCAGUGGGGUCGGUCCUGCCUCAGCAGGGAGACCAGCCCUGGGUUUAGUCCUGGAUUAAUAAACCUUCCUGGGGAAGGGCUCUGAGCCCUUGGGUGCUUUGUGUUCAUCUCUGUGCCUUUGGUGUUGGUGUUUCUGUUCUCUGCCUUUGCACUCCCUGUGACAGAGCCUUAUUCUUCAAACAAUUAAUUGGGGCUUUUUCCUUCAGUGAGAUGUUUGCAAUGGAUUUUUGUCUUUUUAUAAAA